rnacentral:misc_RNA from 1 species
GUAGGUGAACCUGCGGAAGGAUCAUUCUUGAUUAAUGUAGCUUAUGCUUCAAUUAUUUUGUGCACCGUUACCGCCAGAUUGGCGGCCGAAAGGCCGUCUUUUUGGCAUAUUUUUUAUAUACUUUUAACUUAUUGUACCUCUAAUACUUAACUAUUAGACAACUUUUAGCAAUGGAUCUCUAGGCUCUC